UGCCGAUGAUGAGUAGAUUUGCGUUAAUGAUCAAAAUAAUGAUUAUGACUAUACUACUGCCUUCCUUCUGAGGCU
rnacentral:snoRNA from 1 species